rnacentral:rRNA from 1 species
AACGCGAAGAACCUUACCAGGUCUUGACAUCCCUUUGAAAGCGAUAGAGAUAGCGCGCUCCCUUCGGGGACAGAGGAGACAGGUGGUGCAUGGUUGUCGUCAGCUCGUGUCGUGAGAUGUUGGGUUAAGUCCCGCAACGAGCGCAACCCUUGAUGCUAGUUGCCAGCACGUGAAGGUGGGCACUCUAGGAUGACUGCCGGUGAUAAACCGGAGGAAGGUGGGGAUGACGUCAAAUCAUCAUGCCCCUUAUGACCUGGGCUACACACGUACUACAAUGGUCGGUACAACGGGAAGCAAAGAUGCGAAUCGGAGCGAAUCCUUAAAAGCCGAUCUCAGUUCGGAUUGCAGGCUGCAACUCGCCUGCAUGAAGUCGGAAUUGCUAGUAAUCGCGGAUCAGCAUGCCGCGGUGAAUACGUUCCCGGGCCUUGUA